UGUUUACACACCUCCUGGAUCCUGAUUGGUCGCUGCUUCAGCCGCAAGGCGCCGAUUGGAUGCUCACAGACCGUAAUACAGCGCAGAUGAACAUGAUUCAGACUACGGCGUUUAUAUGUUCAACAAUAGCAAACGUAGUCUUAGCUGUUUUAAAAUUACACCAAGUUUAUUUCGGAUUAUUCCAACGGAAGAAUACAAGGCGCAGGGAAGUUUGAGGUGCGUAAACGCCACUUAUAGGAAUGUUGAAGGGCUGCAGCUCGCAUGCUGCAGCGUGGCGGUUCAUUGAGUUUCUGAUUGACAGCGUGGGAGAGAAGAUGUCGUCUGUCGCCCAGCAGCAGAGAGAACGAACAGACAUUCGUAACUCUGGAGUUGCACUUGACUGCGUCAUUAGAGACGCUCACACGUCCCGAUGAACUUGGGGUUUGAAUUUGCUUUAUUUGUAGAGAAUUUAACUUGUUUGUGCUUUGAGUUGCCUGACAUCAUUUUUUAGAAGCAUUAAUCAAAAUGUUCCAUAUCGGAAACAUGUUCAUUGACUAAAUAUUCUCUUCUUCUUCCGCCUGAUGUCUGAUUACAGGAGGAAGUGAGUCAACAAUUGAAAUCAGGCUUAAAAUGUCGACUGAAACCUUUGUGUGUCAUUUAAUACACAAACGCUCAUUAACUCAAGAUCAUUGUUGUUUCACUUCAUUCAAGUAAACAAGUAAUAAAGAACAUGUGAUUCUCUUUGGUCUGAAGAAAACAAGACGGAUUCAUUUGGUUUUAUUUUUAUUAAAAGUAUUUUCAUUGUUAAAAUAAUAAACAGACGACAUAUUUAACAAUAAUAAUAACACAAUCAUUGGGAAAAUAUCUGAAGCAGUUCCUGAAAAGAGAGAAAAGAAAAGUUAUUAACAUGUUAAUGUUGUUAGUGUGUCUGUGUGUACAUCUAAAUGUUAGUGUGUCUGUGUGUACAUCUAAAUGUUAGUGUGUCUGUGUACGUCUAAAUGUUAGUGUGUCUGUGUGUACAUCUAAAUGUUAGUGUGUCUGUGUGUACAUCUAAAUGUUAGUGUGUCUGUGUGUACAUCUAAAUGUUAGUGUGUCUGUGUACGUCUAAAUGUUAGUGUGUCUGUGUGUACAUCUAAAUAUUAAUGUCUUUGUGUACAUCUAAAUAUUAGUGUGUGUCUUUGUUUAGUACCAAAUGUUAGUGUGUGUCUUUGUGUACAUCUAAGUGUUAGUGUGUGUCUUUGUUUAGAACCAAAUGUUAGUGUGUCUGUGUGAACAUCUAAUUGUUAGUGUGUCCCGAUGACGUAGCGUGCUGAUGGCGUCUUGUUGGUCUGCAGACAAGGAGAAGAGACGUGAGGAGGAUCAUCAGGAUGUGUCCGUGUGUACAUCUAAUUGUUAGUGGGUCUGUGUGUACAUUAAAAUAUUAAAGUGUCUUUGUGCAGAACCAGAUGUUUGUGUGUUUUAGUUUACUUCUGAAUACUAAUGUGUCUUUGUGUACAUCUAAAUAUUAGUGUGUGUCUUUGUUUAGAACCAAAUGAUAGUGUGUCUGUGUGUACAUCUAAUUGUUAGGCGUCCUGAUGGCGUCCCGAUGACGUGGCGUCCUGAUGGCGUCCUGAUGGCGUCCCGAUGACGUGGCGUCCUGAUGGCGUCCCGAUGACGUGGCAUCCUGAUGGCGUCCUGAUGACGUAGCGUCCCGAUGACGUGGCGUCCUGAUGGCGUCCCGAUGACGUGGCGUCCUGAUGGCGUCCCGAUGACGUGGCAUCCUGAUGGCGUCCUGAUGACGUAGCGUCCCGAUGACGUGGCGUCCUGAUGGUGUCCUGAUGACGUAGCGUCCCGAUGACGUGGCGUCCUGAUGGCGUCCCGAUGACGUCCUGUUGGUCUGCAGACAAGGAGAAGAGACGUGAGGAGGAUCAUCAGGAUGUGUCUGUGUGUACAUCUAAUUGUUAUUGUGUCUGUGUGUACAUCUAAAUAUUAGUGUGUGUCUUUGUUUAGAACCAAAUGAUAGUGUGUCUGUGUGUACAUCUAAAUAUUAAUGUGUCUUUGUGUGGAUCUAAUUGUUAGUGUGUCUGUGCGUACAUCUAAUUGUUAUUGUCUUUGUGUACAUCUAAAUAUUAGUGUGUUUUUGUUUAGAACCAAAUGUUAGUGUGUCUGUGUGUACAUCUAAUUGUUAGUGUGUCUGUGUGUAGAUCUGAUUGUUAUUGUGUCUUUGUGUACAUCUAAAUAUUAGUGUGUGUCUUUGUUUAGAACCAAAUGAUAGUGUGUCUGUGUGUACAUCUAAUUGUUAGUGUGUCUGUGUGUAUAUCUAAUUGUUAUUGUGUCUUUGUGUACAUCUAAAUAUUAGUGUGUGUCUUUGUUUAGAACCAAAUGAUAGUGUGUCUGUGUGUACAUCUAAUUGUUAGUGUGUCUGUGUGUAUAUCUAAUUGUUAUUGUGUCUUUGUGUACAUCUAAAUAUUAGUGUGUGUCUUUGUUUAGAACCAAAUUAAAGUGUGUCUGUGUGUACAUCUAAUUGUUAGUGUGUCCCGAUGACGUAGCGUCCCGAUGACGUCCUGUUGGUCAGCAGACAAGGAGAAGAGACGUGAGGAGGAUCAUCAGGAUGUGUCUGUGUGUACAUCUAAAUGUUAGUGUGUCUGUGUACGUCUAAAUGUUAGUGUGUCUGUGUGUACAUCUAAAUAUUAGUGUUUGUCUUUGUUUAGUACCAAAUGUUAGUGUGUGUCUUUGUGUACAUCUAAAUGUUAGUGUGUGUCUUUGUUUAGAACCAAAUGUUAGUGUGUCUGUGUGAACAUCUAA
ensembl:lncRNA